rnacentral:rRNA from 1 species
GUAGGUGGCAAGCGUUGUCCGGAAUUAUUGGGCGUAAAGCGCGCGCAGGCGGGGUCCUUUAAGUCUGAUGUGAAAGCCCACGGGCUCAACCGUGGAGGGUCAUUGGAAACUGGGGGACUUGAGUACAGAAGAGGAAAGCGGAAUUCCAAGUGUAGCGGUGAAAUGCGUAGAGAUUUGGAGGAACACCAGUGGCGAAGGCGGCUUUCUGGUCUGUAACUGACGCUGAGGCGCGAAAGCGUGGGGAGCAAACAGGAUUAGAUACCCUGGUAGUCCACGCCGUAAACGAUGAGUGCUAAGUGUUAGGGGGUCUCCGCCCCUUAGUGCUGCAGCUAACGCAUUAAGCACUCCGCCUGGGGAGUACGGCCGCAAGGCUG